GAGAAUAUAGCUCAGUCGGUAGAGCAUCUGCCUUUUAAGCAGAGGGUCGAUGGUUCGAGUCCAUCUAUUCUCA
rnacentral:tRNA from 1 species